CUAGAUUUGAUUGAAGGAAAAUAAUAAUUGCUAACCGAUUUGGAUUUGAAAUGCAAUGGAAAAAUGCAAUGGAAACAUACGUUUUUUCAAUGCUUUUCCAACGACGAAAACAAAGAACAAGUGGCAACAACAGUGGCAUUUUAGUGUUCACCAGCACCAUCCCUGCAAGGACACAACUGCUUUGAAUUUGAACUUUCCCCAUCUGUACCCAUCUUAUUACUCUCCUUUCUCAUAAGCGACGCAGCAUUCAAGAACUCAUCCAUCGCUUUAGUAGAAGAACCCUUGCAUCCUUCCUCAGCUUUAAUGGCCUUUUUUAUCAUGUCUCUCACUUCACAAGCUCUCCUUCUCAUUUCUAUUCCUUUCUCUGUCUCAUUCAUCACCAAUUCAAUCUUUCUUGCUAAAAUAUCAUGUCUAACUUCACAGGUUUUUCCUCUACCAACCUCCACACAAACUCCAAUCUCUUCCAAAAGCUUGACAUUGCAGAACUGUUCGGCUGCCUGUGGCCAUCCCAUUAUUGCAACACCACAGCUAAGAGCUUCAAGCACUGAAUUCCAUCCACAAUGACUCAAA
rnacentral:misc_RNA from 1 species